GACGAACGCUGGCGGCGCGCCUAACACAUGCAAGUCGAACGAGAGAGGAAGAGCUUGCUUUUCCGAUCGAGUGGCGAACGGGUGAGUAACGCGUGAGGAACCUGCCUCAAAGAGGGGGACAACAGUUGGAAACGACUGCUAAUACCGCAUAAGCCCACGGCUCGGCAUCGAGCAGAGGGAAAAGGAGCAAUCCGCUUUGAGAUGGCCUCGCGUCCGAUUAGCUAGUUGGUGAGGUAAAGGCCCACCAAGGCGACGAUCGGUAGCCGGACUGAGAAGCUGAACGGCCACAGUGGGACUGAGACACGGCCCAGGCUCCUAAGGGAGGCAGCAGUGGGGAAUAUUGCACAAUGGGGGAAACCCUGAUGCAGCGGCGCCGCGUGGAGGAAGAAGGGCUUCGGAUUGUAAACUCCUGUUGCUGAGGAAGAUAAUGACGGUACUCAACAAGGAAGUGACGGCUAACUACGUGCCAGCCGCCGCCGUAA
rnacentral:rRNA from 1 species